rnacentral:tRNA from 1 species
GGGCCGGUAGAUCAGUGGUAGAUCGCCACCUUGGCAUGGUGGAGGCCUCGGGUUCGAAUCCCGACCGGUCCA